rnacentral:lncRNA from 1 species
UGGACACGAUGGACCCAUGGGUGCUACAGGAGUGAAAAGGCUCAGAAGCGUUGGAUUGAUUGAGAGUGUUCCUGGGAUGAAGGCUCUUGACAUGAACGCUGCUGAAGAUGCGAUUGUGAAGUUGACUAGAGAGAUUGUUCCUGGUAUGAUUGUUACAGGAAUGGAAGUUGCAGAGAUCGAUGGAUCUCCAAGAAUGGUAAUUAAUUAAAAUCGAUUACUUAUAAUUUAUAAAAUAUAAUCCAUCUUUUUUUUUUUUUCUUGAAAAUGAUUGUGGAAAUGGUGUAUGUGAACAGGGGCCGACGUUUGGGGCUAUGAUGAUAUCUGGACAGAAGGCUGCUCAUCUGGCUUUGAGGGCUUUAGGGCUUCCGAAUGCUUUGGAUGGGACAAGUGUGGGAAGUGUUCAUCCAGAGAUGAUUCUUGCUGCUGUUGAUUCUGGUGAGACUGUGGAUGCCUAAG